AAUAGCAAUCUAAGUUUUUUAUCCCAAUAUCAAAUGUAGGGGUGUCCAAAAACCCGACCCGACUCGACUCGACCCGACCCGAACAUGACCCAAACACGAAACAAAUUGAGUAGAUGUUUCGGGUCUUAAAAUUGUUUAGGUACUUAUUACGAAACAAGAAAACAAACAUAUUUUGGAUCGGGUUAGGAUCAAAACAUUGUUCGGCCUGAACACAUUAUUGGCCUCUCACCCAAAGUCCUAAACCCAAACACUUUCACUCUUUAGUCUUCACCCAAACGUAACAAGACUCUUCACUUCUCCGGUUGUCGACUCUACUGCCGUCGCCGCUGUCUCGUCAAUUCCGCCGCCGCCUUCUUCUUUGCUCCUCGGAUUCUAGGGUUCCUCUCGAUCUGAUCUCGUUGGUGAAGGACCGGAGCUGGGGCUGGUCAAGCGCUCUUCUCUCUUGCGCAGCCGCGAGAAUCACGCGUGGGGAGUUUCAGCCCUCGGGGUUCCUCUCGAUCUGAUCCUGCUCUCGAGGAAGGUCUCUCGGUGUCGUUCUGGAUCUGUUUAUCCAGGGCAGGAGUUGGGUAUAACUUCUGAUGAAGCAUUGAGCUUGGAGGACUUACCAAAGCGUGCUGUGGUGCUUGGAGGAGGGUACAUUGCAGUGGAAUUUGCUUCAAUAUGGCGUGGAUUGGGUGCCACUGUGGAUCUGUUUUUCAGAAAGAGCUCCCACUGAGGUUCAAAUGCCGACUUUGCUUCUAAAAAAUUGUAGCCUUCUCUUUUUUUUUUUGUGCUGCUGUUUAACUUUGUCAUGGAUAUGUGGGAUUGCACUUUGCAAACCAGAUUCGCAGUACUGUUUACUUGGACACCAUGUACAACUCAUAAUACCGUCAUUUUAAUUAUGGUGCCUGCCACAUCUAAACAUGAUGAAGAGGAUGUUUAGUUUUUAGCCAGUUAUUGUCAUGA